UCCCGUGUGGCUCAGUUGGUAGAGCAUGGUGUUUGCAACGCCAGGGUUGUGGGUGUUUGCAACGCCAGGGUUGUGGGUUCUAUUCCCACGGGGGAC
rnacentral:tRNA from 1 species